UCCCUGGUGGCUCAGAUGGUAAAGCAUCUGCCUACAAUGCAGGAGACCAGGGUUCAAUCCCUGGGUUGGGAA
rnacentral:tRNA from 1 species